CCUACGGGAGGCAGCAGUGAGGAAUAUUGGUCAAUGGGCGCGAGCCUGAACCAGCCAAGUCGCGUGAAGGAUGACUGCCCUACGGGUUGUAAACUUCUUUUCUAAGUGAAUAAAGUGAGGCACGUGUGCCUUUUUGCACGUACUUUAUGAAUAAGGAUCGGCUCACUCCGUGCCAGCAGCCGCGGUAAUACGGAGGAUCCGAGCGUUAUCCGGAUUUAUUGGGGUUAAAGGGAGCGUAGAUGGGUUGUUAAGUCAGUGGUGAAAGUUUGCGGCUCAACCGUAAAAUUGCAAUUGAUACUGGCAGCCUUGAGUACAGUUGAGGUAGGCGGAAUGCGUGGUGUAGCGGUGAAAUGCUUAGAUAUCACGAAGAACACCGAUUGCGAAGGCAGCUUACUAAACUGCAACUGACGUUGAGGCUCGAAAGUGUGGGUAGCAAACAGGAUUAGAUACCCCUGUAGUC
rnacentral:rRNA from 1 species